AUUGAACGCUGGCGGCAGGCCUAACACAUGCAAGUCGAACGAGUGGCGGACGGGUGAGUAAUGUCUGGGAAACUGCCCGAUGGAGGGGGAUAACUACUGGAAACGGUAGCUAAUACCGCAUACCAUCGGAUGUGCCCAGAUGGGAUUAGCUAGUAGGUGGGGGAAAGGCUCACCUAGGCGACGAUCCCUAGCUGGUCUGAGAGGAUGACCAGCCACACGGGAACUGGAACACGGGCCAGACUCCUAGGGGAGGCAGCGGUGGGGAAUAUUGCACAAUGGGCGCAAGCCUGAUGCAGCGAUGCCGCGUGUAUGAAGAAGGCCUUCGGGUUGUAAAGUACUUUCCGCGGGGAGGCGUUACCCGCUGAAGAAGCACCGGCUAACUCCGUGCCAGCGGCCGCGGUAAUU
rnacentral:rRNA from 1 species